GGAAAGGCCCACACGCAGCAGCUGUGGCAGCGCUGGCUGCCCGCGGGGCAGCUCCCGCUGCAGCAGCUGAGGUUCGGCUGCUGCUCGGAGAGCGGCCCCACGCCAGGGCAGCUCCCGAGAGCCGUGUCCUGUGGGAGAGACCCACACGGGAAGGCUCUCACAGGGGAAGGACUGCACUCCCUGAGCACAGGAAGAAAAGCUCGGGUGACAAAUUGACCAAAACCCCCAUGCCCUGUCUCCCUGCACUGCUGUGGGAAGGAGGGAGGAGUUGGAGGAGGGGGGAAAAGGUGUUUUAAGAGCUUAAAUUUAUUUUACUUCUCAUUACCCUCCUGUGACUUUGUUAGUAAUUAAUUCACUCUGUACUUCCAAGUUGAGCUUGUUGAGCCCUUGGAGUGUUUUCUCCCAGUCCUCAUCUCACUCAUGAACCCUUUGUUACUCUUUUUUUCCCUGUCCUCUGCCCAACUUGGGGGUGGGAGGGGUAAGUGAAUGACUUUUGUGGGUGCUUGGUGUUUGGCUGGUGUCAAACCACAACAGAAAGAGAGAAAAAGAAAGGAAAAGAGCACAAAAAGGCAUAUGUACAACACAUGAGACUGCUUCAGAAAGAUUGACAGAGAGAAGGUAUUCAUGACAUGAGCUUCCCUAAGGUUUGCAUCCUGUAUGCAGCAAAAAUGCAGCUUUGAAUCCAAAUGCGCUGAGUCCCAAAGAACAGCUAGUCAUCCAGCUCUAGGUACACUGUAUUUCAGAAAUGCAGGAACGGGCCAUUAAGAAUAAUGAUGGUACAGAUGGGCAGAGUAUGAGAAUAUUAUUUCUCUCCACUGGUCCUGCAAAUUUGUUCUGUGGGGGUUUUUCUUUGAAUUGGUUCCCUCAAAGUCCCGGUGGAGCCCUCAUAACAAAAUCACCGUAAUCCAUUCUUUUUUUCCUUGGUGUCAUCCUCAUACAGUCAUUUAACUUCUUUGAGAGGAAAAAAGAGAUUGAAAAUAUCAGUAAGAGCUUGGAAGUGGCUUAAGGAUGUUGCAUAAAAUUUCACAACAACUUGUUGGACUUUCAGUUGAAAAUUAUUGCCUUUCCCUUCUUUUCCAAGGACAGUAAAAGCAGAUGAGCGGGUUAAAGUCCCAAAGAAAAUUGUACUCAGCUGGAUUCACUACAACAGUUCAAACUUCCUCUAGGGGUCACUAAAUGGGAAAAUGGGAAAGUAAUUUUAAUAUUUGUUCUCCAUUGAGUUACUCCAAAUCUUACUGCCUGCUAUUAUGGCAUAUAACAUAUUGCCAUUAAAGUCCCUGAGUCACAGAUCCUCAAUAAAUAUUUUGCAGUCUUCAGCCCAAGAUUGUAGUCUUCAAAGAAUACAGCUCUGAACAAAGAACCGUAGAAACAGAGCUCCUCUUCUCCACGAUAAAUCCUGAUCAAACAAAAUGCUCUGGUAAAUAAGAUACACUAGCAAGAUUCAAUACAUUUCUGUACGUAUCUCUGUCCUCCCUUUUGAAAGCAUGUAUUAACAAGCUAAAUUAAUUUCUAAAUUUCAGUCUUUCCGAGAAGACUGAAAUUCCAUGAUUCCAUUGAUUCCAUGUUACCAUGGAAAACAAGGCUGACAUGCCAUGGGACUGUCAAAAUUGCACCCAUCUUCUGGAAACCUGCAGGACAUCAUGUGUUCAUCUACUUCCUGUGCUUUUGCGCUCUUUAAGUUGCACUGUUCCUGGACCUGGAAAGUAUCAAGUCUUCCAAAGUCUUGAAUCUUAUGUGAUUUCACUUAUCUUGGUGUUUGUCUUCAGCUGUUUUGAAUAAACUCUCUGGAUUUCCAGGGAAUGGCCACCCCUUUCCUGCACUUAAGAUCUACCAGAAAUGCUGACUAUGGCUAUACAUACUGAAUGGCAAUUUUAACCUGUUAAGCAAAUUAAACAAAUUGUUGGAAAAAGUAUGCCCUCCUUGAAAGCUGUUAGUGGGCUUAGUCAUGCUGGAAAUACCUAGAGGGCUGAAUAUCCAGGGGGUUGGAACAAAGAAGGAAGCAGUAAUAUAGGGCUGAGUGAAAACUGCAUUUUACUACACCACCAAUGCAAAUACAGCAUGAGAUCUUCAGCUCUGACAUUCAGAAAGGAACAAUAGCUACAGAAUAGGUAGCUUUGAUGAACCCAGUAUCCAGAACAGGCAUACAGGUAGGCAGAGACAAUCCAGCAGUUUCUCGAAGUUGGCAACAGCCUUUUACAGCUUUUGUAUACAGAGAGCCAAGAAAACAACUGAAAAGGAGACACUGCAAGAACCAUAAGCAAUUAGAAAGCAACUGGAAUCAGAAUGAAAGGUGAUCUUUUUUCCUUAAGAUAGAAAACAAAAUCAUCUGGCUUCAGAAAGUCAGGCUUCCAGAAAAUUAUCUGGUUCAAAUCUGAAAAGAAGGGAGUUUAAGGGAGCUAAAAUGUCCUCAAAGGAAUAGAUCUCACAUAUGUGUUUUGUGGCUAACCAGAUACUAGGCAGAAUGAAUAAGGAAAAGAAAAGAUUAGAUAAUAAUUUCUUGGGGGAGGCAGCAGCAGAUAUACCAGAUCUCUCUGUAGUGAGGAGUUGAAUCCAUAAAUUAAGGGAUAGAUAGAUAGAUAGAUAGAUAGAUAGAUAGAUAGAUAGAUAGAUAGAUAGAUAGAUAGAUAGACAGGCAGAAUGAUAAGUUAGCAUAACUCAAAAGGAAAACCCAUCUUUCAAACAAGACAGAAGUUAUGAGCACUUUACAAUAAGCAGUUUAACUAUCUCUAAGUAUUUUCUUUUAUAGUGUUCUUGUAGUAAAUCUCAAGAUGAAAGCACUGCUGUUGUCCAAACUGCAGAAAAUAAGCCACAGAGCCUGGAAUAAAGAAGCUGCAGUUCAAGAAUAAAAGUUAAUUGCAACUGAAAUAUGUAUCACAGACCUGUGAAAACAGAUAAUUGAAAAUAUGGGUCAUGAGGAGAAACAGGUGAUGGGGAAGGGUAUUUAUUAAGUGGAAUCAGCCAGAGAAAAGAUACUUGUGCCAGGGAUGGGUAAUGGUGUGGAUUGGAGCUAACCUUGGAGAUGUCAAAAGUGGGAUUGAUGAUAUAUGUGUGUAUCACUAUGAUAUAUGAUAUAUCAUAUCAUAUAUGAUGCCAUAACAGAUUUCAAAGAUGCAGUUGUCAGGAAGUGAGGAGUUCCCAAAACCAUUGGGCAUAGGAUCCCAGGGAAUUGGGGGUAGGAGUGGGACUGUUUGGAUGAUGCCAAGGAGCCACUCAGACUUGCUAAACAAAUUGAAAUUCCCACAGCUGAGGUGGUUAAUGGAGGCAAUAGAGACAAGAAAAACCACUAACAGGUAAGACUGAAAGAACUGGGCUGUUGGGGAAAAGGAUUAACAAGAACAGCAGGCAUAUGGGCUGGAAUGAACAAAUAGUUAAUUACACUAGCAAAGGGGAGGAAAAGGCAAAUCCUCAAAUAUAUUGCUUUUUCUGUCUGAUUUUUCAGACAUUGCUUGUUUCUUAAGGAAAGACCUUCCAGCACCUGUUCUGAUUAAAGGCUAUGGACUUCAUGUAACAAGAAAAAAUCUAUUAGUAUUAAUCACUAUUUAUCCACACAGGCAAAUAAUAUGUGGUAAAUUCCAAACAUUAUUAAAUAGCCGUGUUAAAAACUCUAGGCAAAGUAAUAUUCACACAGGAGAGAUUGUGCAGAUGCAGACUGAAGCAUGUAUAAACUUUGCAACAACCUACACAAGCCCAAAAGCAUUUCUGCCAAUUACUGGAGUAAAAAUUUCCAAGGAUAUUGGCCAAUAAUCUUCCUUCACUUUCUUUUGUAGAUAUUUGAUUAAAUUCUCUGUCUUUGGAUUGUGUCAUGAACUGAGACUUUCCCUUUUCAUUGUUUUCAAUAUUUUCCCCUUUCUCCAAUCUUCUGUCUCUCCUGUGAAGUCCAUGAUGACAAUUUGAUUUUUUCUCAGCAGAAGACAAGUCUGCCACAUGGCACAGUGAAGACUGGUCUCAAAAAGUCCAUAUACCCUCUUCUGAAAACUACUGAAGCCCAAAAAUGUGAUCUUAAUGAACUUAAGGCUCUUAUUGCAUGAUCCCACAUGCAAUGGACUGCCACACAUUUGGCCACAGUCUCUGCCUUUGUCUCUGACAAUGCUUGUCCCAGCACCUGGAGUCAGCACUCAGGAGCAUCUCACACAGGUGUCUGGCCAGGGCAGAGUGUGACAUUCUUCUCCUGAAAGCCUUCCUUGGGUAGAUAAGACAUAUCAGCACGAGUCUUUCCACAGAAAAGGAAAUUGUAAUUUCCAUUUGUAUUUUUCUGAUUGCAGAUGAAAUGCAUGGGUACUCUCCAAUUUAGUCCCAGGUUUUUCACUCACUCAAGUGGUACUACUGAAAUAGCACUGGUACCCAGACAAUGGGAGAUCAAUGCAUCUUCUCCUAAUGCUGCAUGUCUUGUGAAAACCCUUUAGACAGCAAUUGAAAUGGGUUUACAUGGGGUACAAUACAGCUUUUUUACAAUGUGUUGCAUGAACAGCAAAGGAUCAGGUGACAUUUUAUUAAAAAUUCCAUCAGGUGAUGGUUAUACUUAGAUUGCACAAUCCAAAGUUCCAACAAGAAAAAAAAAAGCAGACCUGCUAAAGGCUUCCUUAAGGUAUGUGAUUUAGAAUGGUUAUAUUUUUCUUUUGUAGUUUAAGCAACACAAAUUGUGAUGCAGGUGCAAAAAACAGGCUAAUCCUUACUCAGGUGGAGAGUAAGCAUAGUUAAGCAGCAGCUGCCCAUUUAUCUUUGAAAAGAUAUCUCUCAGACAGUAAUGGAUUUUUUUUUUUUUAGUGUGCAUAUUUAGACAAUGAAUUGUGCUCAAUAUCAACUCAGUGAAAAUGCCUUGACCUGAGAAUGAUUCGGCUCCAAAUGGCAGACUCCUGAUGGGUCUCUGCAGAAAUCAAAGUUACCCUAUUCAUGAUUAAUCACAAGUCUUUUAUUUCUUAUUUCCCACUCCUUGGCUUGGUUUGGUUUGUGUUUUGGUUUUAAAUAAUGAAAAGGUCAGUAAUUUUCUGUUUCUUGUCUUUUCCUACUCUGCCUUCAUCAAGUAUGACCCCAGGUUAUCUCUUUUUGGUCGCAUCUGCCUCUUCAUCUCACCAAAUGUAACUUAGCAAGAUUAUGAUGGAUAUACAAAGAGAUAUGUGCAUUGAAAUUUUUGCCCUGGCCUCCCAAUAUGGUCAAUGAAGAGAAAGAAGUAUCUCUGUAGCAUGAUUCAUCUCUGUCCAAAGAAGAAUGAAUCCAGUCUGUAAGUGCCUGUUCCUUCCCACUAACCAGUAAGGGACCCUGGGAUUACUCACUCUUAUGUCAUUCUGUUUUUUUCUGUCUCCAGCAGCAAGAUAACCCUAAGCCUAAGUAUUAACUCUAAUUGUUCAGAUAGACAAAAGAGUCCAGACACAUGGACAAAUGAUCCCACUCCUUCCUCUGCACCAGUCUUGCCUGCUAUCUGCACCAUGCACAAGAUGUGCUUUGGACCCUGGCCUUUUUGCCAUGGUAAGGAGUGGAAGUGCCUGGACCCAUCCAGUGACAUUAGCUGUGUCCAGACUCCCACCUUUGCUGACCAUAUGGGCCAGUAUUGGCACAACUGAGCAUGCCACAGCACAGUCCCACAGAAUAUAACCAGAAAUCAUUUCCUGAGCCCUCUCUAUAGUGUGUCAUUAAUAAGUCUGUGCAAUUACAUUCCUCACAGCUCUUUUACCAAGCUGUGUCGGUUGAAACUGCUCUUUUAUUCAGCAUGUACCAUAUUAACCUGUGCAGAACAGCACUUGAAACAAAGUCCUGUUUCUCCAACCAAAAGAGAGAAUAUUUAUUAAUUUUGCCCUCAUGCUUAAUUCCUCAACAGGUAGAUUAAAUUAAAUUGGAACAAUACAUAGGUGAAUUGAGACAAAAAAGGAAGGAUUGUUUCACAUGUGAUGUUGCCUUUCAAAGUAUUUGAUGCCUGAUUAGCUGAGACCUCUUCUACACAACAGCCUGAAUAGCAGCUGAAUUACUUUGAGAAGCCCUGACUCAGGUUGUAAGUGGUGCACACACAGAAAAUUUACCCUAUGUGACAUCGAAGGGUGCGGCUUGGAACAUCUGUCAUUUUCUUUUCCUUCCCUCAUAAAAAUCUGUCAGGCAGUUUCAUCUGCAGUGCAAAGGGCACUCAGCUGCUGAUGACUGGGAGAGAAGGUGCCCAUCAUUAUGAUAGGAAGUUAUGCCAACUGGCACUCAUGCUAACAUCUCAUACAUAAGGAGAGACUGUUUAUAAGCAGGAUGGAGUGUAAAACAAGACAGUCAUUUUGUGAUUGAAGGAGUGCCAGAAAAUAAUAAUACUUUUUAAAAAGGGAACACUGUUACAGCUAUAUUUUUAUCACCUGAGUGCAGAACUGAGAGAUCAGCUGGCAUGAUGUCAGGUAAGAACUUGUAGCAUACACAGCUCUUUGCAUCUGUACAUAUUCUGUGUAGAUGGUAAAAAAAUGGUCAUAAUAGAUAAUGUGUAUUUUUAUAUCAAAGUAAUUUUGUGCAAGUGCCAAAGACUCCUCAAUAAGUCAGUUCAGAAAAUUCCUCCUGAGCACAACUGGUUCCUCUGCUUAAGUAUGGUCUUCACAGUCAUAUAAUGGGCAGAAUGACCAUGAGAACUGCUAAAUGCUUCUAGAAAGAGAGACUGAAGAAUGAAAUAACAUUUCCAAGGUUGCACUGUAUUAAAAGAGCUGGGGGGUGAGAUUUGCUGAUUAUCUGCCCCCAGACAGAUCCAUUAAUCCUCUACCUCAAUAACUAUCGAGCACACUCUAAAUUUACAAUAGAACAAAUUACUUUUGGGAGGAAUAUUGACUUCAAGGGAGAAAAAAGUAGGGUGAAAGAAAAAAUAAUAAAUCUUGUGCAAUAUUAGGGGCUUGUAUUCUGCAAGCAUUAAUAAGUAAACAGAAACUCUGGGUUUUUUUAAAGAAACUGGUGGGAUGAGGUUUAGGAAAAAUAACUAUUCUGCAAAGAGAAGUUCCUCCUUUAUACAUGGCAAUCAAAAGUUGUCAACACAGUGCCUGUCAAAUAAAAAUUGUAUUUCACAUGUAGAAUAGCAGGGCACUCUAAAACUUGCAGAAGCUGUAGAUUUUCCACCCAUGAACUUCUAAUAAAUUUCUUCUCACCAAUUUCAA